GCUCACUUUGGCAGAACAUAUACUAAAAUUGCAACAAUACAGAGGAGAUUAGCAUGGCCCUGAACAAGGAUGAUACACAAAUUCAUGAAUUAUUCCAUACUUUU